UUACAUCCCACCUAGCUCAACUAAUCUCACCAACCACCCAACCUCACAAACAAACCAUUAUUACAUAACCAGUAGCCCGAACUAUGCGAUCGAAAAUUUAACCUUGAAGCUAUAGAGACAGUACCGCAAGGGAAAAGUGAAAUAACAUUGCCCGCAUACGUACAAAAAAGCAGAGACUAACCCACGUACCUUUUGCAUCAUGAUUUAGCAAGAAUGCCCGACCAAAAUGACUUCCAGCCCGCCCACCCGAAAUCAAGUGAGCUACUUCCCGGCAGUCUAAUAGGACCAAACCCACCUCUGUUGCAAAAGAGGGGGCAGACCCAGAAGUAGAGGUGAAAAGCCAAACGAACUUGAUAAUAGCUGGUUGCCUGAUAAAUGAAUCUCAGUUCACCCUUUAGCACCAACCCGCAAACAAAAUAGCACUACCUGCAACUAAAGGCAUAUUCAAUGAUGGAACACCACCAUUGAAACAGGGUACAACCUGAAUCAGAGAGACACUUAAACCCACGCCCCCCGUAGGCCUCAAAACAGCCACCAAAAACAAAAACGUUACAGUAUCUACAAUAAAAAUCCCACUAACUACCCCAAACUCCUGCAAACCAUCAGGCCACUCUAUACAAUUAUAGAGGAACUCAUGCUAAAACAAGUAACAAGAAACCUUCUCUGAGCACAUCUUUAAGUCAACAUAAAACACCCACUGACAAUCAACAGACUAACAACUUAAUCACACCCCCCCCCUGUUAACCCGACACAGGAGUGCAACCAAGAAAGAUUAAAAGUUAAAAAAGGAACUCGGCAAACCAACUAUUCCGACUGUUUACCAAAAACAUAGCCUCUGGCAUACACAGUAUCAGAGGUAACGCCUGCCCAGUGAUUAUUUUUAACGGCCGCGGUAUCCUAACCGUGCAAAGGUAGCGCAAUCACUUGUCCCCUAAAUAGUGACUAGUAUGAACGGCCACACGAGAAUAAACCUGUCUCUUUUAACAAAUCAGUGAAACUGAUCUCCCAGUACAAAAGCUGGGACACCAACAUAAGACGAAAAGACCCUGUGGAGCUUAAAUACUACCCUACCCCCCCCCCCCUUUUAAUAUUUUUCUUUGGGGGAAAUUGGGAAAUAAAAAAAAAUUUGACCCCAAUCCCGAAAAACCCCCCUAUUAAAAAAAAACAGAAAAAACCCUUAAAAAAAACCCUAAAUUUCUGUGCAAAAAAAAAAAUUUUCCCCCGGGGAAAAACCCCCUCUUUUUUUAUAGACCCCCCCGACAAAAAAGGGUUUACGACCUCGAUGUUGGAUCAGGGCACCCCAAUAGCGCAGCCGCUAUUAAAGGUUCGUUUGUUCAACGAUUAAUAGCCCUACGUGAUCUGAGUUCAGACCGGAGCAAUCCAGGUCGGUUUCUAUCUAUGUACUAUUUUUUUCAGUACGAAAGGACCAAGAAAAUGAGACCCAUACUCCUAGCAAGUCUCAACCCGGCUGAAACAAUGUCAAGCCCUCAGUGCCACUCAGCCCAAAAAC
rnacentral:rRNA from 1 species